rnacentral:rRNA from 1 species
GAUGAACGCUGGCGGCGUGCCUAAUACAUGCAAGUCGAGCGAACAGACGAGGAGCUUGCUCCUCUGACGUUGGCGGCGGACGGGUGAGUAACACGUGACUCACCUACCUUUAAGACUGGGAUAACUUCGGGAAACCGGAGCUAAUACCGGAUACUCUAUUGAACCGCAUGGUUGAAUCGUGAGAGACGGUUUUUCUUUUACUUAUAGAUGGUUCCGCGCCGCCUUAUCUAGUUGGUAAGGUAACGGUUUACCAAGGCAACGAUGGGUAGGCGACGUGGGAGGGUGAUGGGCGACAGUGGAACUGGGACAGGGAUCAGACUCCGACGGGAAGCAGCAGUAGGGGAGCUUCAGAAAUGGGCGAAAGCCGGACGGAGCAACGGCGCGGGAGUGAUGAAGGUCUCCGGAUCGGAAUUCUAAGUUACUAGGGAAGAACAAAUGUGUAAGUAACUAGGAACGUCUUGACGGUACCUGAAGAGAAAGCCACGGCUAACUACGUG